GAUGAACGCUAGCGGCAGGCCUAACACAUGCAAGUCGAGGGAGAGGUUACCUUCGGGUAACCAAAACCGGCGCACGGGUGCGUAACGCGUAUACAAUCUGCCUUUCACAUAGGGAUAGCCCGAAGAAAUUUGGAUUAAUACCUAAUGGUAUAUAAGAGCGGCAUCGUUUUUAUAUUAAAGCUACGGUGGUGAAAGAUGAGUAUGCGUUCUAUUAGCUAGUUGGAGAGGUAACGGCUCCCCAAGGCGACGAUAGAUAGGGGUUCUGAGAGGGAUGUCCCCCACACUGGUACUGAGAUACGGACCAGAUUCCUACGGGAGGCAGCAGUGAGGAAUAUUGGACAAUGGUCGGAAGACUGAUCCAGCCAUGCCGCGUGCAGGAUGAAGGUCCUAUGGAUUGUAAACUGCUUUUGUAAGGGAAGAAUAAGGAGUACGUGUACUUUGAUGACGGUACCUUACGAAUAAGCAUCGGCUAACUCCGUG
rnacentral:rRNA from 1 species